rnacentral:lncRNA from 13 species
CUUCUCUAUAUGAAAACAUAGAUGUCAAGUGUUGUAUUCAGCCAUGAGAGAUGACUGCCCUCUGUUGUUUCAGAAUUAAGAAAAUGGAGACUCAAAAAGCUGGGUGCCAAUGGAAAAAUCAACAAAUAUAGCUGUCACUGAGGAAAGCAGUGCGAGAAUCCUACUGUGUCCUAUAGACACUGAGCUUGGCCCUGAGACCCUGGCUGGUGGAAGGUGGAUAGAAGGGAUGCUGUGCUAGCUCUGAGUAGAGGCUUUAGGAAAUACUGCAUGUUUCUGCUCACCCCUACUACCUCCCUGCACUCCUGCCAUCUAUCAAUAGAAGAACAGAGAAGAUAUUGCUCCUUCAUCAUGGAUUUGGAAAUAGAAAACCCAUGGAGCACACAUGAGUCUGCCUAUGUAGUCUGGAGCCAAGCUUGGCCCAGCCCAGCCAAGCUAAAACAGACCACGGCUGACCCACAGACCUGUGUUACUUCUGGAACUAUAUUUGAAGCAGUAAGUGGAUACAACCAUGUAACCAAUGCCCUGAUCAACAAAUGAAGCAUUCCCAACAUCCUUCUACUUUUAUCAGUCACUACAAACACUUCCCAGAGAGUAAGUAUUUUUCUAACUUCUGUCACCACAGAUUUGUUUUGCAUAUUUUAGAACAAUAUAUAAAUGGAAUUAGAGAGUAUGCCCACUUUUAUGCCUGGCUUCUUUCUUG